GAAAGUAUAGCACCUGGACUUUUAGGCCUACUUUCGGUUGCUACUAGGCGGUGCUAUGACUUUGAGUAAAUAUUGGCAUUUACAUGUCCUCAGGGUUGGACACCAAGGGGGCAA